rnacentral:rRNA from 1 species
UACGUAGGGUGCAAGCGUUAAUCGGAAUUACUGGGCGUAAAGCGUGCGCAGGCGGUUCUAUAAGACAGAUGGGAAAUCCCCGGGCUCAACCUGGGAACUGCAUUUGUGACUGUAGAGCUGGAGUACGGCAGAGGGGGAUGGAAUUCCGCGUGUAGCAGUGAAAUGCGUAGAUAUGCGGAGGAACACCGAUGGCGAAGGCAAUCCCCUGGACCUGUACUGACGCUCAUGCACGAAAGCGUGGGGAGCAAACAGG